rnacentral:rRNA from 1 species
GUGGGGAAUAUUGCACAAUGGGGGAAACCCUGAUGCAGCGACGCCGCGUGAGCGAAGAAGUAUUUCGGUAUGUAAAGCUCUAUCAGCAGGGAAGAAGAAUGACGGUACCUGACUAAGAAGCACCGGCUAAAUACGUGCCAGCAGCCGCGGUAAUACGUAUGGUGCAAGCGUUAUCCGGAUUUACUGGGUGUAAAGGGAGCGCAGGCGGUGCGGCAAGUCUGAUGUGAAAGCCCGGGGCUCAACCCCGGUACUGCAUUGGAAACUGUCGUACUAGAGUGUCGGAGGGGUAAGUGGAAUUCCUAGUGUAGCGGUGAAAUGCGUAGAUAUUAGGAGGAACACCAGUGGCGAAGGCGGCUUACUGGACGAUAACUGACGCUGAGGCUCGAAAGCGUGGGGAGCAAACAGGAUUAGAUACCCUUGUAGUCC